GCCUUCGUGGUGUAACGGUAGCGCUCUCAGAGGUAUUCGAGAGGUCCGGGUUCGAGUCCCGGCGACGGCA
rnacentral:tRNA from 1 species